rnacentral:lncRNA from 1 species
AACUGUCACCAUUGUCUUACAUCUACAUAGAGAGCAGGAGAGAGUCUGAGAGAUUGUCCCGCUCCCAGGUGGAUGAUUGCUCUUCAGCAUUUGGCCAAGGUCAGGCAGGUGAGAGAGAAUUUUUUCUCAAGUUUCUAGUGUUCCUAAGCAAUUUUUAAAAUGGAAGAAAAGGGUAAUAACUUUUUUUAACUGGCAAAU